rnacentral:rRNA from 1 species
GAUGAACGCUGGCGGCGUGCUUAACACAUGCAAGUCGAGCGGAAGGGCGAUAGUCUUGCUUCUCUGACGGGAGCGGGGCGCGGGGGUGAGACAUGUGUAUAACCUACCUGAGUGACGGGGAAAACCUCGUGAAACGGGAGGUUAAACCGGAAGAUGUUCUGAAGCGCAGGGUUGAAGAGUGAAAGACGGUGGUUCUGUCGCGUGUAGAUGGUCCCGCGCUCGAUUAGGUAGUUGGUGAGGUAACGGCCUACCAAGGCAACGAUGGGUAGCCGAGCUGAGAGGAUGAUCGGCCACACUGGAACUGAGACACGGUCCAGACUCCUACGGGAGGCAGCAGUGGGGAAUUUUCGGCAAUGGGCGCAAGCCUGACCCAGCCACGCCGCGUGUGUGAUGAAGGCCUUCGGAUCGUAAAGCUCUGUUAUUAGUGAAGAACAUAUGUCGAAUUAAACGUGCACCUGCUGACGGUACCUAAUGAAAAAGCACCGGCUAACUACGUG